rnacentral:rRNA from 1 species
UACGUAGGGUGCAAGCGUUGUCCGGAAUUAUUGGGCGUAAAGAGCUCGUAGGCGGUCUGUCGCGUCGGAUGUGAAAAUCCAGGGCUUAACCCUGGACCUGCAUUCGAUACGGGCAGACUAGAGUUCGGUAGGGGAGACUGGAAUUCCUGGUGUAGCGGUGGAAUGCGCAGAUAUCAGGAGGAACACCGAUGGCGAAGGCAGUUCUCUGGGCCGUAACUGACGCUGAGGAGCGAAAGCGUGGGGAGCGAACAGG